GCCGCAGAAUUGUCUUUUCACGUCUCAUUUCCUCCUGCGUUGCUGUGGAGAGGACGAGCGUGGCGAUCUUCCCUUCGCCGGCCAUGGCGAACCCCCUCUGUACGCAUGGGGACAGAAUUGCAGACUCCCGUCCACAGCUCCUCCUCCCUUUCUCUUCCUCCCCGCUUCCUCUCUCCAGAACCCUAGCCGUCACCGUUGGUUUUCUCCAGAUCUCGGUUGAUUCCGUCGGCGGCAGCGUCGGCGACCAUGCGUGCCGCCCGCAGCCAGCCGUUUUGAUUCAUCUUCCAAGUACAGAGACAUGGAGGCUGAGCCGCCUGCUCCAUACUAUUGUGUUUAGCAGUCUAGCACUCCAGUGCAGUUUGUUGUUGCCUCGUGCCUAGGUGAAAAAAGUCAGGUCCAGUGGCGCACACGGUGAACCACUUCAAGAAGAGGAUUACUUUUUUUCAAUGACGCCAUCAUUCUCUCAUCUGGGUCACACCUCAAGAGUUCUUUGGUAGGUUAAUUAAGAUGUUAGAUUUUCCGAAACAAUUUAAAUUCAAAGUUUUGUUUUAAGAAUGUCUAAGAUGUUCUAAGAUGGGUACCAAAUCUUGGUGGUGCCGGAGUCAAUGGAGAAGGAGGCUGGUUUGGGGACGCGAUGAGCAGCAAGGUGAAGCUGGGAUGGCUGAGGCUCAGGGCGACUCCAACGAUGCUGCUGAUAGGAGGUGAGUGCUGGGGUCGCGGACACCAUCAUCAACCGUGAGGACCUGAUGGACAUCCACAUAUCGGCGUACCUGAACGCUAUAUGCUGGUGUCUCCAACAUCAGUCAAGCCUUGUAUCCUUGCCGAGCUUCACAUGGUAAAGCAAAAUGAUCAUGGUGCCUAACAAUCAGUGGUUGUUCAUGAGCAUCCUGACACAUCAACAAUGGCGUGAUCCCCAUGAGCAGGAUCAGAUGCCAGCAUGGUUGAUCAGCCCAGAAAGCACGCCUACUGGGACUGGUCAUGGGACGAGCUGGCCAUCAACGAUCUCUCGGCGAUGCUGCAGUCCGUGGACUACCUGUCAAACCAGCAGAAGGUGCACUACGUGGGCCACUCACUGCCCUGAGUGACCAGCAAGAGCAUAUAGGGAUGCUGUGGUCAGCCUGCCUGCUCACCCCAAUCGCUUUCCUCAACAAGGUCUCAUCGCCAUUGGCGCUCGGGGCAGCCGACCUGUUCCUGGCAGAGGCUCUGCACUUGAUAACAAAGAAUAGAUUAUUACACUGACUGUAUUACUUCAAGUCUCAAACAACAAUGAGUUCGAUUCAGACCAUCUUUUUCAAAUCAGAACUGUCAAUUGGGCCAACAAGGUGCAACAUGGAAUAGACUGCUACACUGACUGUAUUACUGAAACUCUCAAACUACCAACAAACAGGUGAAAAUUUCUUCCUUGAUAACUCCUCUGCUGAGACCUUCUUUGCUCAUUAGCCACAAGCUUGUUUUUCAGAAACAAACUGUCAAUUUUUUCAGAAACAAACAGACAAUUGCUGCCUUGACAAACUGUCUUUUUUUUCAGAAAUUGGUUUAGGUUACUAGCAAAUUUGUUCUUUGUAGAUUCUUUGAGGCAUAUUAUGAAUUAAUGGUCGGUGAAGUAUUUCAGUUAUUUGGCCUAUGCAUGGUUAACAGUUCUUGAGAAAGAGAAAGCGGGAGGGAGAGAAAGACAUAUGUGUUUGACUUUUUAAGACAUGAUAGAUAUCUUGAUGCGAUUUUACGUCUUCCACAUAAUAUUUAGUGAGAUUUAUUGCAGUUUUACACAACUGGAUGCUCUUUUCUUAUUUCCCUAAGAUGAACAAAUUUUUACCAAUACCAGUACCCUAAUGCUUACUUCUUGAUCAGGCCAAUGGCUCUUCUGAUGCAUAGUUUAAUUUAAUGUUAAAUAGCUGAAUACUCAUUUGUGUUCAUGUCUAUGAUACCAUUACUAAAAAUAGAUCAAAGGGCUCUUUUGUCCAAGAUGCACACAUGAUUACAUUGGCCACCGUGCAGUACACUUUAGUGCAACAGAAUAUAACUGCAACCUGUUAAAUUGAAAAAAAGAUGAUGACUUUUCUGUUUAGAGUUUAGAUGUUAAUAACUGAUUACAAGGACCAUGGCCAGAAUUCUGUCAGAGGUCGCCACUAUCAAUUGACAAUAGUCCUUUAACGUAGCUCAAUCAUAAGUACGAGAAGUUUACUUCUAAAAGAAGACGAAAAUGACUUUCAUGGUCACUCUGAGCAGUGUUUCCUUGGUACAUAGAUGAUAGUAGCCCUGCUAUUUUUAAUAUUUUCUUUCCAGGAAAAGAAAAUCUUAUGUUUUAGUAUAGUCAUUUCAGUCUUCCUCAAAGGACGGACGGGAUACAAUCUAUUGUGCAAGUUUUUGAUCUUCUUUUAGCACAUACAUGCACACAGUAGGCCAUGAAUUUCUUUUUACGGGUAGAAAUAGUUUUACAAGCCUAAAGCUAAGCUAGGAACUCCCACUGGUUUCCCACAACAUUGCCUAAAGCUUUGCUUCAUGACUGUAAUAAAGGUUGCAAUUUCAAAUAUUGUUUUGUUCUUUAUUUUGUGAACUCUUAGGCAUGUGCUAGAUUAGUGUUUAUGUUAAUAUUGUUGGUGCAAUGUAACAUCUACACUUGCACAACAAUUGAUGGCAGAACAUUCCUUGGUUCCUAUGAAGGCUGGUUACCGAAAGGAAUAACCUAGAAAGGACAAUUUUAGGAGGAAGGUUGACUAAAUUUUCUUUUUUCCAUACAUGCUGACUAAAGUAAUCCAUACCACGCAACUAAGCUCUCUUUUGUCUCAUGUUUAAAUAUGCGCUCCAUUGUUUGCAUAGUGUUUCUCCAUGUGCAAUUUUUCGUUACCUACUAGCAGUGGAUAGUAAACAACUAUGUGAUCGAAGUUUUUCAUCAUUAUAUUUAUAGGCUAUCACUAUAUCAUUCUAUAUUUACUAAGAAAUUACAUUUUUUGCAAGGUUUAUUACUUCUCAUAUGAUUGUACAGUCCUUGUAUCACUAGAUAAUAUCACGUUAGCUGCGUGUGUUCUGUUGCUUCAGGUUCACCCUUUUCAGCAGCCGCAAGGGAGAGUAGAAGUGGAGCUUCUGGUGGCCUGGAGUGAUCCGGCUGGCUGGACGUGCUCUUUCUUAUUUGAGCUAAUGCUGUUUCUUGCUGUAGAGAUGUGGUGUUCUGAAAGGCUUGAGUGUGUUUGUUGUGAUGCUGCGUGUUGUGUUGGUUCAGCUCAAGUCAGGCUACAUCUCUUUUUGUUAAUGAGCAUGGCAGCUAGAGAUGCCACCAGUCUUUAGCUUGCGUUUCUCGUUAUUUAAACAUGUGAUGGAUUGAACUAUAUUUUGAAAUCUCUGAUACCAAACAUUUGCUGUGUGAUGUAAAUGUCCAAAAAAUGGUAAAGGUCAUGUUAAAAAUUUGUAGAUAUUGAUUAAUUAGUUAACUGCUACUCCCCCCCUUAAUUUCCCUGGUUCUUCAUUGUUUGCUAUACUGUUUCUUUUCUAGCUAGCUUUUCAUUUCAUUGGCUGCUACUAGUUUGCAUUGGCUGGUACAUGGUACUGAUGCAUGUUUUCAUUGAAACUACAAACUACAUACAAUUACGACACUUCUUCUGAGCGACACGGGCAACCUGGAGGCUUGUGACUUUUCCAUCGCUUUUGGGAAGCAUUGUGUGGCAGCGUCUUGUUCCUCUGACUGUGUCUUUGUGGUUUAGGUGAGUAGUAUAGCUCUAGUGUAUUGUAUUAUCUUGGUCGUGUGUUGAGUAGAAAUAGAAACACCUUGUAGCGAUCUGGCUGAUGGAUAUGUCCUGGAAAUUUGAGGGUGUUGGUAAAGCUACCUAACUAUGUGUGUUAUCGUCAGCUCUCCAAGGCUUUAUACUCCCUCUCUCCUGAAUUAGAUGUCACAGAUUUGUCUAGAUUCACAUAUAUCUAUACACUAAACCGUGUGUACAUAAAUGUGCAUCUAGACAAAUCGGCGACAAGUAAUUUGGGACAGGGGGAGUAUUUCUUAUGGCUAUUAGCGUUUCCUGUUGCUGUUGCAUCCUAGCUAGGUGUGUAGUAGGAACGGUGGUAAAAAGUAUUACAACAUUUUAACAGUUGGGUCUUCAUUUGUGUCCCCCAAAUAAGGAAAGCUAUAAUGUUGCUGCCAUCUGCUUGUUCUGCACCAAUUAAUAAAGUAGGUACUAGGGACCCGUGUAUGGAGUAGGCAUUAUUAAGUAAGUAGUGCAUCAAUAAGUAUCAACAUCUGGUUAGUAUGCUAAAGUCCUAUCUUUUGAUAUCUGCAGCUUCAUCAGCCACUUUCUACGGUUUGGCACAAGUGCCCUGCACAGAGGAAUUCCGCCAUGAACCCUUAUGGACGAACAAAGGUACUACCAGCCAGCCAACACCUGUUUUGUGUUGCCCUUAUGGACGAAAGCCAACACUUGGUUUGUGUUGCCCUGGUCAUUGACGACAUUGAAGUUUUUUUUAUUUAUUUGGCGAAUGGACAUUGAAGAAAUUUGAUAUGAUUUGCCACGACAUCCAGUGCUCGGACCCUGAAUGGAAGAUCAUAAUGUUCAGUUACUUCACCCGGUCGGUGCUCACCCAAGUUGGUGUAAAUUGGUGGCAAUAAGUUGCCAGGAGGUGGCUCGUGAAAAUCUUGCUUUUUAUUAUGUUUUGUGGUAGAUGUCCAGAGUUUGAGAUGCAUAGAAAAUGCUGCUGGGUACUCUAUCAAUCCCUGAUGUGUGAUAUCCAAAGAAACUAUAAAUUUGACCGUACUAGAUUCUGACACUGAUGCUAGAAAUAUUUUUGCUAGUGGGAACCUGUCAACCAAAUGACUCGUAAUCUGUAAGUUAAAUGUUGUGCUGGCUGAUGAUGUCUUAUCUUCUUUUGCCUUGGCCAUUUGGCAUAGUAACAAUCAAGUCUCAUGAUGGCCGAACUAGUAAACAUCAUUGUGAUCAAAUAUAUUAUGUUCUCUUAGUAGGAAUCAGCUUCUAUGAAAUGAUGGAACAAUCCUCAUUAUUUUUGUGUCCGUCAUUUAGGACAUCUUCUGUGGCAUCCAGCGCUUGAACCCUGAUUGGGAGAUCCAUACUAUUCAGUUACUUCAACCCGCCCGGCUAUCACCCAAGUGGGUGUUAAUUGGUGGAAAUAAGCUGCUGGGAGGUGGCUCUUGUGUUCCUAUGAGAGAGAGGAUGAGCAUUGGUGCUGUCAAACUGGCUUGUACCACAGAAAGGAUCAAGUUUUCAGGUUGAAAGCCAGGUACAAGCUCUACCACAAGAUUGUGCAGUAAUGGCACCUUAUGCUAGGCUCUGAUGGCAACUAAUAAAGCAGAUUGUGCAGUAAUGGCACCUUAUGCUAGGCUCUGAUGGCAACUGAUAAAGCAGGUUCUCAAUAGCUACAGCAAGAUGGCCGUGUCAACUUGGAGCUGAACCCUGAUUUUGGAGACGCGGAAGGCUAUGCUGGAGUCCAAGAAGGCUUGGUUUAAAUUUGGUAGGAGGCCCAGCUGGCACUCAGAUGGAAUAGUUCAAAAGAUAAGAUGAAUGGCAAAAAAGAUGCCUUUGGAAACAUAUUUAUGGGAUGUUUUCCCAAAUAAUUUUGAGUGUGUUGAGCUUAUUGCAAGAUAAUGAACUCAUCUUAAUCCUUCCAUACAUCAGAAUUAGGACUAGGCAAAGACUUAAAUGGGAGAAAGGCCCAAUCUGAUGGUGGACUGUAAGCAAUAUAUGGAAUUACUAAGGCUUGUUGGCAAGCUC